rnacentral:rRNA from 1 species
UACAGAGGUCUCAAGCGUUGUUCGGAUUCAUUGGGCGUAAAGGGUGCGUAGGUGGCGCCGUAAGUCGGGUGUGAAAUUUCGAGCUUAACUCCGAAACUGCAUUCGAUACUGCGGUGCUUGAGGACUGGAGAGGAGACUGGAAUUCAUGGUGUAGCAGUGAAAUGCGUAGAGACGUCAUGAGGAAGACCAGUGGCGAAGGCGGGUCUCUGGACAGUUCCUGACACUGAGGCACGAAGGCCCAGGGGAGCAAACGGGG